rnacentral:rRNA from 1 species
AUGGCGUCUCUCCUCUUCCUGCCGCACACGACCCCCACGGCCUCCCCGCGCGCCGCGGCCAGGCCCAGGGCCGGGGCCAUCACCUGCGGCCCGCGCGACAACCGCGGCCCGCUCCAGCGCGGCCGCUCCCUCUCCACCGAGGCCAUCCACGCCGUGCAGUCCCUCAAGCGCCUCACCGCCGCCGACCGCUCCCCGUCGGCCGCCCGCGGCGCGGCCUCCGCGUCCCUCGGCCGCCUCCUCCGGGCCGAUCUCCUCGCCGCCAUGGCCGAGCUCCAGCGCCAGGGCCACUGGUCCCUCGCCCUCGCCGCGCUCCACGUGGCGCGCGCCGAGCCCUGGUACCGGCCCGACCCGGAGCUCUACGCCACGUUCGUCUCCUCCUCGCCGCCCUCCGAGGCCGCCGCCGGCGCCGUGGACGCGCUCGUGGAGGCGUUCCUCGAGGAGAAGGAGGAGGGGCGCGGCGGGCGGCUCUCGGAGUCGGAGGGGCCGUGGGUGGGGGUGGACGUGUACAGGCUCACGAGGCUGGUGCGCGCGCUGGUGGCCAAGGGCAGGGCGCGCGCGGCGUGGCGGGUGUACGAGGCGGCGGUGAGGAGGGGAGGCUGCGACGUGGACGAGUACAUGUACCGGGUGAUGGCGCGGGGGAUGAAGCGGCUGGGGCUCGAGGCCGAGGCGGCGGAGGUGGAGGCCGACUUCGCCGAGUGGGAGGCCAGGGUCUCGCCGCCGGCGAGGCAUCUGCUCGACGAAAUGCGCGCGAGGGAGGAGAGCGACAAGACGACGACGCCGACGACGGCUUAG